rnacentral:rRNA from 2 species
AGAGUUUGAUCAUGGCUCAGGGCUAACGCUGGCGGCGUGUCUUAGCCAUGCAAGUCGAGCGGACUUAUGGGGUAACUUAUAAGUCAGCGGCGGACGGCGGAGUAACACGUAGCUAACCUACCCUCUGGACGGGGAUAACCUACCGAAAGGUGGGCUAAUACCCGAUGUAGUCAUCCUGUAUAGGGGUGAUGAAAGGUGGGCUUCUGUUUACAAGCUCAUGCUGGAGGAGGGGGCUGCGGCCUAUCAGGUAGUUGGUAGGGUAAUAGCCUACCAAGCCGAUGACGGGUAGCCGGCCUGAGAGGGUGACCGGCCCGAGGGGCACUGAGAUACGGGUCCCACUCCUACGGGAGGCAGCAGGCUAGAAAUUUGGGCAAUGGGGGAAACCCUGACCCAGUGACGCCGCGUGCAGGAAGGAGCCCUUCGGGGUGUAAACUGCUGUCGUGUAGGGAGAAGGGUACUAAGGUGAACAAUCUUAGUACUUGACGGUACUACAGGAGGAAGCCCAGGCUAACCUCGUGCCAGCAGCCGCGGUAAUACGGGGUGGGCGAGCGUUGCCCGGAAUUACUGGGUUUAAAGGGGGUGUAGGCGGUCUGGAUAGUCGGGUGUGUAAUGCAAUCGCUCAACGAUUGAGCUGCAUCUGAUACUUCCAGGCUAGAGGGCGGUAGAGGAGAGCGGAACUCCCGGUGUAGCGGUGAAAUGCGUAGAUAUCGGGAGGAACGCCGGUGGCGAAGGCGGCUCUCUGGGCCGUUCCUGACGCUGAGGCCCGAAAGCUGGGGGAGCGAAAGGGAUUAGAUACCCCUGUAGUCCCAGCCGUAAACGAUGGGCACUAGGUGUACCUUUUAACGGAGGUAUACCGUCGGGAAACCAAUAAGUGCCCCACCUGGGGAGUACGCCCGCAAGGGUGAAACUCAAUGAAUUGACGG